rnacentral:rRNA from 1 species
GGCGGCAGGCUUAACACAUGCAAGUCGAACUGCCCCGCAAGGGGAGUGGCAGACGGGUGAGUAACGCGUGGGAACGUGCCCUUCGGUUCGGAAUAACUCAGGGAAACUUGAGCUAAUACCGGAUACGUGCGAGAGCAGAAAGAUUUAUCGCCGAAGGAUCGGCCCGCGUCCGAUUAGCUAGUUGGUGAGGUAACGGCUCACCAAGGCGACGAUCGGUAGCUGGUCUGAGAGGAUGAUCAGCCACACUGGGACUGAGACACGGCCCAGACUCCUACGGGAGGCAGCAGUGGGGAAUAUUGGACAAUGGGCGCAAGCCUGAUCCAGCCAUGCCGCGUGAGUGAUGAAGGCCCUAGGGUUGUAAAGCUCUUUCGCCAGGGACGAUAAUGACGGUACCUGGAUAAGAAGCCCCGGCUAACUUCGUGCCAGCAGCCGCGGUAAUACGAAGGGGGCUAGCGUUGUUCGGAAUCACUGGGCGUAAAGCGCACGUAGGCGGAUUGUUAAGUCAGGGGUGAAAUCCCGAGGCUCAACCUCGGAACUGCCUUUGAUACUGGCGAUCUAGAGUCCGGGAGAGGUGAGUGGAACUGCGAGUGUAGAGGUGAAAUCGUAGAUAUUCGCAAGAACACCAGUGGCGAAGGCGGCUCACUGGCCCGAACUGACGCUGAGGUGCGA